rnacentral:rRNA from 1 species
AGUUUGAUCCUGGCUCAGGAUGAACGCUAGCGGCAGGCUUAACACAUGCAAGUCGAGGGGUAGAAGGAGCUUGCUCCUUUGAGACCGGCGCACGGGUGCGUAACGCGUAUGCAAUCUACCUUGUACAGGGGGAUAGCCCAGAGAAAUUUGGAUUAAUACCCCAUAGUAUUUUCAGAUGGCCUCAUUUGAUUAUUAAAGUUCCAACGGUACAAGAUGAGCAUGCGUCCCAUUAGCUAGUUGGUGUGGUAACGGCAUACCAAGGCAACGAUGGGUAGGGGUCCUGAGAGGGAGAUCCCCCACACUGGUACUGAGACACGGACCAGACUCCUACGGGAGGCAGCAGUGAGGAAUAUUGGUCAAUGGGCGCAAGCUGAACCAGCCAUGCCGCGUGCAGGAUGACGGUCCUAUGGAUUGUAAACUGCUUUUGUACAGGAAGAAACCCUCCCUUGUAAGGGAGCUUGACGGUACUGUAAGAAUAAGGAUCGGCUAACUCCGUGCCAGCAGCCGCGGUAAUACGGAGGAUCCAAGCGUUAUCCGGAAUCAUUGGGUUUAAAGGGUCCGUAGGCGGUUUUAUAAGUCAGUGGUGAAAUCUGGUCGCUCAACGAUCAAACGGCCAUUGAUACUGUAAGACUUGAAUUACUUGGAAGUAACUAGAAUAUGUAGUGUAGCGGUGAAAUGCUUAGAGAUUACAUGGAAUACCGAUUGCGAAGGCAGGUUACUACGAGUAUAUUGACGCUGAUGGACGAAAGCGUGGGGAGCGAACAGGAUUAGAUACCCUGGUAGUCCACGCCGUAAACGAUGGAUACUAGCUGUUUGGAGCAAUCUGAGUGGCUAAGCGAAAGUGAUAAGUAUCCCACCUGGGGAGUACGCUCGCAAGAGUGAAACUCAAAGGAAUUGACGGGGGCCCGCACAAGCGGAGGAGCAUGUGGUUUAAUUCGAUGAUACGCGAGGAACCUUACCAAGGCUUAAAUGGGAAACGACAGAUUUGGAAACAGAUCUUUCUUCGGACGUUUUUCAAGGUGCUGCAUGGUUGUCGUCAGCUCGUGCCGUGAGGUGUCAGGUUAAGUCCUAUAACGAGCGCAACCCCUGUUGCUAGUUGCCAGCGAGUCAUGUCGGGAACUCUAGCAAGACUGCCGGUGCAAACCGCGAGGAAGGUGGGGAUGACGUCAAAUCAUCACGGCCCUUACGUCUUGGGCUACACACGUGCUACAAUGGACGGUACAGAGAGCAGCCACUACGCAAGUAGGAGCGAAUCUACAAAACCGUUCUCAGUUCGGAUCGGAGUCUGCAACUCGACUCCGUGAAGCUGGAUUCGCUAGUAAUCGCA